rnacentral:rRNA from 1 species
AGUGAACGCUGGCGGUAGGCCUAACACAUGCAAGUCGAACGGCAGCACAGUAAGAGCUUGCUCUUACGGGUGGCGAGUGGCGGACGGGUGAGGAAUACAUCGGAAUCUACUUUUUCGUGGGGGAUAACGUAGGGAAACUUACGCUAAUACCGCAUACGACCUACGGGUGAAAGCAGGGGAUCUUCGGACCUUUCGCGAUUGAAUGAGCCGAUGUCGGAUUAGCUAGUUGGCGGGGUAAUGGCCCACCAAGGCGACGAUCCGUAGCUGGUCUGAGAGGGUGAGAGGACACGGUGGGACUGAGAUGAGGCACAGACUAAUAGGGGAGGGAGGGGUGGGGUGGAGUGCAGAAUGGGAGGAAGCAGAACGAAGCAAAGCGGAGUGGGGGAUGAGGGCAUUCGGGUAGGAAACCGCAGGCGCAUGUGAAGAAGCGUGAGUGACGGUAACGGGGAAAGAAGCACCGGCUAACUACGUG